rnacentral:rRNA from 1 species
GUGUCCCUACGGGAGGCAGCAGUGGGGAAUAUUGCACAAUGGGCGAAAGCCUGAUGCAGCGACGCCGCGUGAGCGAAGAAGUAUUUCGGUAUGUAAAGCUCUAUCAGCAGGGAAGAAAAUGACGGUACCUGACUAAGAAGCCCCGGCUAACUACGUGCCAGCAGCCGCGGUAAUACGUAGGGGGCAAGCGUUAUCCGGAUUUACUGGGUGUAAAGGGAGCGUAGACGGCAGUGCAAGUCUGGAGUGAAAGCCUGGGGCUCAACCCCGGAACUGCUUUGG